rnacentral:lncRNA from 1 species
CGAUCAAUAAACCUGCUCAUUCUAGUCCACAGUUGCUAUGUCCUGUGGUGUUACGAUUAUACAUGACAGCACAGAAGUCAAAGCUACAUUUUUGAAUUGAAUAACCUUGUAAGGAACAGCAAAUAUCAGAACAGGUUUUAAACUUACAUAUACACAGAACAUUCAACUAUUUCUCCAGGUUUGGAAAUGAGAUAUUCCAUUUUUGACAUUGAGAAUAAUGGAUUUGCUACAUCUCUAAAGAAAACAGUCCCCACUUGGAAAUAAGUAGAAAAGACUGUGUGGGUGUGUGUGUGGAUGUGGACUAACAGGGAGCCGUUUAAUUUACUACAGACUGGGACUAAUAUAUUAUGAGAGACUUUUCGCUUUUUCCAACACAUACACAUAAGGAAAAGUAAAAAGUAAAAGAUCAUCAAGUAAUAGUUUCCCAGUUUCUUUUUUAAAAAGAUCCCCAAAGGAAUUUGUGCUUAAAGGGGACUUUUCACUCUUAUGUUAUUCUACCUUUCAGAAAGACUAAUUUAAGAAGUAGGAUAGUCUGUUACUUACAAGUAAAAAGAUGGCUGUGCCUAUUUGUCUGACACUUUGAGACAUUUUUCUUUGCUCAGGUGAAUCUCUUUCAUCCCCUCCUCCUUUAUGAGCUACCAGCCACAAUACUGGAAAAGGACUGGAAAAGCCAUGCUAUGGCUCCAAGAAACUCACCGAUGGUAGAGAAGAGCGUGUGUCAGAGCAGAGUGGGGUGAGGAUCUCAAGUGAGGCAGGCAAGGGGCUGGGGGUGUGUGUGGACAGGCUACAAUACAACAAGAUCCAUAAUGAUGGGGGAUAUUAAUAAGGUCGGCUGGUUAUAACCUGGCAGGGCAAGCUAGAGUGCUCAGCUUAUGGGAGAGAGCAGUGUCCCAUGGUGGGGAAAUAAAGGACAGAUGCCAACAGAAAUCCCAACAGAAAUCUUACAAUGAACACAGAGGAUACGGAAGAUGUUCAAGCUCCUUCCCACUUAUUUCAGUGAAAGAUAAAACAUUUCUGUGACUGUUUACUUUUUGUUUAUUUAUUUUUUUGUGUGUGCAGAAGCUCCCAGGCCAGGGAUUGAACCCAUGCCACAGCAACGACCUGAGCUGCUUCAGUGACAAUGCCAGAUCCUUAACCUGCUAACGUGAUGUUGUCUCUGUGAGGAUGUGGGUUCAAUCCCUGGCCUCGCUCAGUGGGUUAAGGAUCUGGUGUUGCCCUGAGCUGUGGUGUAGUUUGCAGAUGCAGCUUGGAUCCAGUGUUGCUGUUGCUGUGUCUGUGGUGUAGGCUGGCAGCUGCAGCUCUGAUUUGACCCCUAACCUGGGAACUUCCAUAUGCUGCAGGUACAGCCAUAAAAAGGAAAAAAAAUACAUCUAGUUCAAAUCAAGAUGUGCCAUAAGUGUGAAAUACACACUGAAUUUCCAAGACAAUACCCCAAAAUGUAAAAUGUCUCAUUAAUAACAUUUUAUAUUGAUUAUAUAUUGACAUGAUAUUUUGGACAUACGGCAUUAAAUUAAAUGUUAUUAAAGUGAAUUCUACCAAUUUCUUUUUACCUUUAAACAUAUGGUUACUAGAAAAUGUUCAGUUACAUGUGGCUUGCAUUACCUCUCUUUGGGGUGAUAUUGGUUUAGUCAACACUUCCAUGUUAUGGUUAUAGAUAUGUCCUUGGAAAUAAAUGUUAGAACAAGAUUAACAUCUGAAGUGAAAAUAAUCAGCAAAAAUCAUGACUCAAAGUUUCAGUACAAUUUUAAAUUUUAUUCAGUUACAGAGGGCAGUCAUGUAUAGAUGUUAAUAUCUGAAAAAUCUUGCCAGAGCUGAGGUGUCGCCUUUCUAAAAUUUAAAUCUGGUAAUCAUUGACUUAAGGUAACUAAAUGGCCCUGAUGAAGAUGUUAUUUCCUUAACUUCCUUAACUAAAAUGUCAAAGCAAAUUUUAAGCCUUGACAACAGACUUGGGGUGUGGGGCUGGGGGUGUGAAGGGAGAAGAUAAUGAGAAAGAGAACAGUCUCAUUUUUUCUGGACUAUUUUCUUUAUGGCCACAUCCACAACAGGCUCAAGUUCCUGGGCCAGGGACUGACCCCACAUCACAGCAGUGACCCCACACCACAGCAGGGACUAUGCCAGAUCCUUAAGCUGCUGAGUCACAUGGGAACUCCUCUAAUUUUUAUUUUACUUAUUAUUCUCUCCUGCUGCCAAGCAAGGGCUGGGCAUAAGGUAAGCCAUUUACAUACUGAUAAGAGAACAUAGAUUUUAAGCGAUUUUGGCUCACUAGAAAAUAGAAGUUCUAUGCCACAAACUGUUGAAUAAGCUCAUGGUCUGGAUGUGUUUUUCUUUCUGGAGAUUUCAUCAGCAAGGAAGCAGAGAGGUUGGAGACAGUCAGGCCCAAAGGCAAGGGCAUGGCCUUCAUAGCUUUACAAAGAUGCUUCAAAUCCCAAGUUUUAUCAUCAAGUAAGGUUUUUCUUUGAAGACAGGAGCUCCAAUAAGCCCAGAAAAGUUGACAGAACAAAAGGGUUUGAACUCUAGGGGGCAGGAGAGGGGACACAUUCCUUUCUCCAUCUUGGCACCAAAAAGACCAGGAGGCAUUGCUCUGAGAACACGGCUGCUCAUUGCUCAGUUGGCCCAAUGUUUCAUCCUCCAAAUAACUUGUCACAGUGGCUGAAGUAGAACCUGCUCCCUCCACCUCCUCACCUUUCGAUUGUGGCAGCGGCAACGUAAAAACAUAGCUAGACAUUAACAGUUCUCCAUAUAUAACAUGCCAAUCAAAGGGCUGCACACCUGACCAGAUUCUUUUAUGGAGUCCCUCCCUUGCCCCCGUUUUAGGGUUCCUAUUAUAAAAAUAACAGAGCAGCAAUGGUAGCCGUGGAAAUAAGCUUGGGAAAUAUUUUCUCUUCUUAGAAGGCAAAAAUUGCUCUAGCAUUUAAGGUAGUAACACGCAGAGAUCUUAAUACCCAAAUCCCCACAACAUUGACAAAAUGUGCAGUGAAUAUUAUUCAUCCUACCAAUGUGAUAUUACUCACAACAAUUUUUAGGAAAUUAUUUGGCAGGUUCGACCUAAAUCCAGUGAAGCGGUCUGUGCACCUCUGGUAUGUUUCUGAUAUCUAACUAUAGCAGUAUUUGUCUUUGUCCUCCAAACUCUUUUAUAGCACAUGGUAUGCAUAUUUCAGCAUCCAACAUUAUUAACUCAUGACCAACUGUCAGUUGAUGGUUAUCUAACACAUGGGGUCUCCACAAAAGGGAGCCUUAUUUGGGCAAAAGCGCUUGUCUGCCCCAGUCUGUCUAUAUUUUCCCUCCAAUGAACUUUAUUUGGAUUAUUAUUUGCUGUUCGUGGAAACGAACAGUAAGGCUGCAUGUGUGGCAAUCGGAAGGCGGGGAAAUAAAUCCUUAGCAAGUUAAAACACUUGGCUGGUAUUAAAACCGUUUCUAGCUUUGUUAGCUGAAAGUAAACUCUCGGUUGCCCUCUUGUGGUCAAUCUCUGGGAUGUGGUGGGAAGACCAUAAAGACCCAGAAACUAACAAGAGAGUUUAAUCAAAUACAGGUAAGGACAUUCAUCCUUGACAGAAACAGUCACAAAUCACAACCUUAUGUUGUUUUAUAGGUUUUAGAAUUUACAUUUACCAGCCCUCCUAUGUGGAGAAGGAUGGGAGAUAGGAAGGUAGGGCCAGUAAUAUGGAAAUUUAGAACUUUGUCUUCUUGGAAUACAAUGACAUCACUAUAUUUACAGCCAUGACUGUUAGAUAUGUGGCAAAUUGAUUUUUAUGAGAUUUCGAACCUUAGAAAAAAUCAUGCCUACAUUUUAAAAGUUUCUUCAUAACUAAAAAUAGACUGAUGUUCCAACUGGUUUGGAAUUAUAGCAACCAAAGAAAGAAGUCUGAAUAAUUCCCUAAUAUGGAAGAGAACAACUUUUUUUUUUCCUUUUAAAAUAAGGAACGGUUUAUUUGUUUCUGACAAUAGGCAACAUAUGGAAACUUGGAAUUUAUAGAACCAAGUGUCAGUACAGAAUUUAUCCAUAUCCUCUAAGAAUAAAAUUUUAUAAAAAUCUGAACUCCAAACUUAAUAAUCGGUCACCCAAUUUGGUAUUUAAUUUUUAAAAACAUCAUUUAAAUCAAAUUUCUGCUGUAGGCCUUUCAACAAUUUCCUGCCUAACAGGCCCAUCCCCAAAAAGCAAACAAACCUGGUAUUAAAACAGACUGAGCAGCUUAAGAAAAAGCUGGGGGCAAAGUACAUGAGAACAUAAACUAUUUUUCUUCUUAUUACCAGUAAAUGUCCCAUUUCCCUCUUUUAUGUGUCUCUCUUUAGAUAAAAACCGCUCCUCCAACCAGCAUUAACAAAAAAUGCUCUGUACUUGUAAAUAUGAUUUUAGGGGCAGAUUAAUUUUAACUUGGCUUUUCCACUCGCACGUGGAAGUCCAGUGUUGCAACAGUUGUUUGGUUUUUGUCUUUGAAUUUGCAAAGUUUCUAAAGUAAUUUUACUACAAAAUUAAACAGCUGUGAGUUCUUUUGCAAACAUGAUGAUUCUUGUUCUUCUUUGUACUAUUGUGCAAGCUGAAAUACCCUUUCUUUCAUGUCUUUUUAUUCCAAAAUGAAUUCCCCAGUUAGCCUUGUUUAGCUUUAAAAAAUAUAAUGAAGAAAGGGGGUGGUGUUUGCUGACCUCUGAAAUUCAUCAGCAUUUAAGCACAGGGAGUUUACACAAGGUACAUAGUCAAAAGGGCUUUUGUUUAAUUCCUAUUAUGGAAUGGAAAAUGAUAUUCUGCCCCAAUAUAAUGCCAAUCCUUGUGUACAACAAAGCCUCUUGCAAAUAUUUCUGAGGCGCAGGGGAUCUUAUGCCUAUUUUGCAGAUGAGAAAACUGAAACAUCAAGAAAUGGUGAGGGAGUGAGGAAUGAAGACGUUCACAGAGUUUGGAAUUAAAUUUAGAAUUUGACUCCUAGCCCAGGACUCUAACCACGUGAGGGCUCUGACUCUUUGGAAUCAACAGAAGAGCAAUUUUAAAACAUUCUUUUGACAUUAUUAACCACAGCCUCAGGGCUAGGGGAGUGGGGGUAGGGGUGGGGCCUGGAAACAAUACGGAGCUGCUAGGUGACGGCCUCUUGCGACACUGCUAAUGAAAUGGCCCCCUUGAUCCUUACCACCCUAUAUUCUAGAAAUAUUCAGAGGCUUAGCAAUUCCCUUUGUGUCUUAAAACAUUAAAAUCUAGAUUCGAGUGCUAGUGUAGACGGCCUCCUUCAUGACAUGAAGUACAGAAAGUGGCUUCAAGAUGUGAGGAAAAGAAAGUGCACUUCUAAGAUGGGAAGUGCAGAAAGUAGCUGGUGACUUUUCUACUGGAUUUGGAGCCAGUGUUGGCUGCAGAUGUGAUGAUGGCAGAAUUCUUAGUUUGAGUAAUUUAUAGCAUGACGACAUUCAGGAGCGUUAAGGGGAACAUUAGACACCAUCUUGUCUGAACCCUUAUUCCACGCAUCAGGAAAGGGAGGCCCAGAGACUCUGUGAAUUGCCUGAAGUCACACAGCAUGAUAGAUACCAGUCUCUGUUGGCUGCAGGGGACCAUCAGCAAUGCCUUGGCAGCAGAUGGCUUUCCAAUGAGCCCCAACUACCUCCUCUUGGGUCUCUGCAGGGCGAGCUCUGUCAUCCCAAGACCACGUAACUAAAACACACUUUCCAAGGAACUGCAAUUAAUAAAGUCAAAUGGGAGCUGACAAGGACAUUCCCGCUGUGUUCAAAUGCCAAAACACACAACGGGGGAAAGCUCACUUGGAGCGAAAGGACCGUGGGUCCUUCAGGCGGGACUUCUGUACACCACACUCCCAGCUGCUUGCUCAGACCCAAGUGGGAGGUACUAAGAGGGAAACACUCACAAACCCUUCAGGGCAGCGUUCCUGCAUUUGGCUGCAGAGCCUGCCACCUGCUUGCUUAUGCUGGGCUGGGCUGAAACCAAAGGGGACUCCUCAGGGGAGGAAAGGCUUUGGGAAUCAAGCCGUCUGGCAAAAAUAGACCACACCCAACUUGUUCUGGAGCAUCCUCUCCACCUUCCAAGAGUAACGAGGGCUCUAGAGGUCCCAACCACCUCCCCCAGCUCCACCGCUGUGUGCCUGAGCUCCCUGGGUGGCUCUGCCCACAAUACCCUUCCUUUCUCACCUUUGUCCCACCUGCCCCAACUUGUUCUUGUUCUCCUAGCCUUGCGCUGGGCAUUGUAUCUCCUGAAAAGCUUCCUUCUUCUCCCAUAUCUUCAGCUCGGAGGAACCCUUUAUCUGUAAGGUCUAUAUCAAGUAGGCUUCUGCCUUAGUACCCAUCACCGCAUAUUAAAAUCAUCUGUGGGUUGGGUCUCCUUCCCCAUCCAGACUUUAAAGGGAUGAUGUCUGUCUUGGGCACUGUAGCAUCGUCAAAGUAGGCGCUCAAUCAACACUCCCAGAUCAAAUGACUCUCUGGAUCAGAUUCUGAAGCAGUGUCCAGGACUUAAGGAGAGUCUAGCAGAUGUUUAUUAAACUGCCCAGGCUGCUGAUCCCCACUGAAGAAAGAAAUACCUCUGAAGAGGGCAAGGUGGCUGAGCUGUUUGUUGUUGGUGGUUUACCUUCCUGUCUGU